rnacentral:rRNA from 1 species
GUUAGGAAACAGAAAAAUACAUUAAUAUUGUAAGUUUUUUAUAUUACCUUUUGCAUAAUGGCUUUACUAUAAAUUAAAGAAUAUAUCCUUUAUCCGAAAUAGGAAGAUCUAUUUACUUACAUAUAUAUGUAGCAUAAUAUUAAUUUUAAUUAUAAAUAGGAGUGAAAGGCUUUCAAUUCCUAAGAUAUCUGGUUUUAGGUUAUAUAUAUAUAGUAUAGGAUACUUUCUCAAGCACAUAAUGUUAAGGUUUCGUGCACACAUAAAAAUCUACUUAUUUCUACCAAACUAUAAUAAUUGUAUGGAAAUUACACAUAUAAUUUUACUAGUAUAGUUAUGUAAAAGAGCUGAAUACUUUAUAAACCUCCCAAUAAAGUAAAUAAUGUAUAGAUUAGUAUUUAAUGGAAAUUAUAAAUAAGGAACUCGGCAAAAAUACUUGCUCAACUGUUUAACAAAAACAUAGCCUAAUGACCUCAUAUUAGGUAAAGUCUGCCCGGUGAUUUUUUUUUAACGGCCGCAGUACUUUGACUGUGCUAAGGUAGCAAAAUAAAUAGGCUUAUAAUUAAGGUCGAGUAUGAAUGGCAUUAUGGGUGAAAGCUGUCUUACACAUAUAUACAAAAAUUUAAUUAGUAGGUGAAAAUGCCCACAUAAAAAUAUUAGACGAGAAGACCCUUAGAGUUUUUAAUAAGCAUGCUACUAAUAGUGAUGAUUUUUUUUGUUGGGGCGACAUAGUAUCAUUUUAGCAUACUCAUAUUAUAGCUAUUAUACAAAUCUUCUUUACUUAUGAACAUAACUACCUAAGGGAUAACAGCAUAAUUUUUCUUUAAGAUUGUGACCUCGAUGUUGGACUAGGGACUAAAUAUAUAAGCCAUAUACUUAGAAUAUUCUGUUCGAAUAAUUUUUUUACCUACAUGAUCUGAGUUCAGACCGGUGUAAGCCAGGUCAGUUUCUAUCUUUAUUAGAUAUAGGACCAGUACGAAAGGACCUUCUUAUAGUGAUAAAAAAAAAUCAUUUUU